UACGUAGGGUGCGAGCGUUGUCCGGAAUUAUUGGGCGUAAAGAGCUCGUAGGCGGUGUGUCACGUCGUUCGUGAAAACCUGCAGCUUAACUGUGGGCGUGCGGUCGAUACGGGCAUCACUGGAGUUCGGCAGGGGAGACUGGAAUUCCUGGUGUAGCGGUGAAAUGCGCAGAUAUCAGAAAGAACACCAACGGCGAAAGCACUCUGCUGGGCCGACACUGACACUGAGAGACGAAAGCUAGGGGAGCGAAUGGG
rnacentral:rRNA from 1 species